rnacentral:tRNA from 1 species
GGGCCAGUAGCUCAGUGGUAGAGCAGCUGACUCUUAAUCAGUAGGUCCGGGGUUCGAAUCCCUGCUGGCCCACCA